CCUACGGGAGGCAGCAGUGGGGAAUAUUGCACAAUGGGGGCAACCCUGAUGCAGCGAAGCCGCGUGAGUGAAGAAGUAAUUCGUUACGUAAAGCUCUAUCAGCAGGGAAGAAAAUGACGGUACCUGUAUAACAAGCCACGGCUAACUACGAGCCAGCAGCCGCGGUAAUACGUCGGGGGCAACCGUUAUCCGGAUUUACUGGGUGUAAUGGGAGCGUAGUCGGUGCGCCAGGGCUGGAGUGAAAUGCCGGAGCUUAACUGCUGAACUGCUUUGGAAACUGGCGAACUAGAGUGCGGGAGGGGUAAGCGGAAUUCCGAGUGGAGCGGUGAAAUGGGUAGGUAUUGGGAGGAAAACCGGUG
rnacentral:rRNA from 1 species